rnacentral:rRNA from 1 species
UACAGAGGCCCCAAGCGUUGUUCGGAUUCAUUGGGCGUAAAGGGUGCGUAGGUGGCGGGGUAAGUCAGGUGUGAAAUCUCGGGGCUCAACCCCGAAACUGCACUUGAUACUGCCUUGCUCGAGUACUGGAGAGGAGAUUGGAAUUUACGGUGUAGCAGUGAAAUGCGUAGAUAUCGUAAGGAAGACCAGUGGCGAAGGCGAAUCUCUGGACAGUUACUGACACUGAGGCACGAAGGCCAGGGGAGCAAACGGG